GGUUAAGCGACUAAGCGUACACGGUGGAUGCCCUGGCAGUCAGAGGCGAUGAAGGACGUGCUAAUCUGCGAAAAGCGUCGGUAAGGUGAUAUGAACCGUUACAGCCGGCGAUGUCCGAAUGGGGAAACCCAGUGCAAUUCGUUGCACUAUCGUUAACUGAAUACAUAGGUUAACGAGGCGAACCGGGGGAACUGAAACAUCUAAGUACCCCGAGGAAAAGAAAUCAACCGAGAUUCCCCCAGUAGCGGCGAGCGAACGGGGAGCAGCCCAGAGUCUGAAUCAGCUUGUGUGUUAGUGGAACGGUCUGGAAAGUCCGACGGUACAGGGUGAUAGUCCCGUACACCAAAAUGCACAGGCUGUGAACUCGAAGAGUAGGGCGGGACACGUGGUAUCCUGUCUGAAUAUGGGGGGACCAUCCUCCAAGGCUAAAUACUCCUGACUGACCGAUAGUGAACCAGUACCGUGAGGGAAAGGCGAAAAGAACCCCGGCGAGGGGAGUGAAAAAGAACCUGAAACCGUGUACGUACAAGCAGUGGGAGCACCUUCGGGUGUGACUGCGUACCUUUUGUAUAAUGGGUCAGCGACUUAUAUUCUGUAGCAAGGUUAACCGUAUAGGGGAGCCGCAGGGAAACCGAGUCUUAACUGGGCGUUAAGUUGCAGGGUAUAGACCCGAAACCCGGUGAUCUAGCCAUGGGCAGGUUGAAGGUUGGGUAACACUAACUGGAGGACCGAACCGACUAAUGUUGAAAAAUUAGCGGAUGACUUGUGGCUGGGGGUGAAAGGCCAAUCAAACCGGGAGAUAGCUGGUUCUCCCCGAAAGCUAUUUAGGUAGCGCCUCGUGAAUUCAUCUUCGGGGGUAGAGCACUGUUUCGGCUAGGGGGUCAUCCCGACUUACCAACCCGAUGCAAACUACGAAUACCGAAGAAUGUUAUCACGGGAGACACACGGCGGGUGCUAACGUCCGUCGUGAAGAGGGAAACAACCCAGACCGCCAGCUAAGGUCCCAAAGUCACAGUUAAGUGGGAAACGAUGUGGGAAGGCACAGACAGCCAGGAUGUUGGCUUAGAAGCAGCCAUCAUUUAAAGAAAGCGUAAUAGCUCACUGGUCGAGUCGGCCUGCGCGGAAGAUGUAACGGGGCUAAACUGUGCACCGAAGCUGCGGCAGCGACACUAUGUGUUGUUGGGUAGGGGAGCGUUCUGUAAGCCUGCGAAGGUGGCCUGUGAGGGUUGCUGGAGGUAUCAGAAGUGCGAAUGCUGACAUAAGUAACGAUAAUGCGGGUGAAAAGCCCGCACGCCGGAAGACCAAGGGUUCCUGUCCAACGUUAAUCGGGGCAGGGUGAGUCGACCCCUAAGGCGAGGCCGAAAGGCGUAGUCGAUGGGAAACAGGUUAAUAUUCCUGUACUUGGUGUUACUGCGAAGGGGGGACGGAGAAGGCUAUGUUAGCCGGGCGACGGUUGUCCCGGUUUAAGCAUGUAGGCGGAGGUUCCAGGUAAAUCCGGUACCUUUUAACGCUGAGGUGUGAUGACGAGGCACUACGGUGCUGAAGUAACAAAUGCCCUGCUUCCAGGAAAAGCCUCUAAGCAUCAGGUAACAUUGAAUCGUACCCCAAACCGACACAGGUGGUCAGGUAGAGAAUACCAAGGCGCUUGAGAGAACUCGGGUGAAGGAACUAGGCAAAAUGGUGCCGUAACUUCGGGAGAAGGCACGCUGAUAUGUAGGUGAAGCCCCUGCGGGUGGAGCUGAAAUCAGUCGAAGAUACCAGCUGGCUGCAACUGUUUAUUAAAAACACAGCACUGUGCAAACACGAAAGUGGACGUAUACGGUGUGACGCCUGCCCGGUGCCGGAAGGUUAAUUGAUGGGGUUAUCCGUAAGGAGAAGCUCUUGAUCGAAGCCCCGGUAAACGGCGGCCGUAACUAUAACGGUCCUAAGGUAGCGAAAUUCCUUGUCGGGUAAGUUCCGACCUGCACGAAUGGCGUAAUGAUGGCCAGGCUGUCUCCACCCGAGACUCAGUGAAAUUGAACUCGCUGUGAAGAUGCAGUGUACCCGCGGCAAGACGGAAAGACCCCGUGAACCUUUACUAUAGCUUGACACUGAACAUUGAGCCUUGAUGUGUAGGAUAGGUGGGAGGCUUUGAAGCGUGGACGCCAGUCUGCGUGGAGCCAACCUUGAAAUACCACCCUUUAAUGUUUGAUGUUCUAACGUUGGCCCCUGACCGGGGUUGCGGACAGUGUCUGGUGGGUAGUUUGACUGGGGCGGUCUCCUCCCAAAGAGUAACGGAGGAGCACGAAGGUUAGCUAAUCCUGGUCGGACAUCAGGAGGUUAGUGCAAUGGCAUAAGCUAGCUUGACUGCGAGCGUGACGGCGCGAGCAGGUGCGAAAGCAGGUCAUAGUGAUCCGGUGGUUCUGAAUGGAAGGGCCAUCGCUCAACGGAUAAAAGGUACUCCGGGGAUAACAGGCUGAUACCGCCCAAGAGUUCAUAUCGACGGCGGUGUUUGGCACCUCGAUGUCGGCUCAUCACAUCCUGGGGCUGAAGUAGGUCCCAAGGGUAUGGCUGUUCGCCAUUUAAAGUGGUACGCGAGCUGGGUUUAGAACGUCGUGAGACAGUUCGGUCCCUAUCUGCCGUGGGCGCUGGAGAAUUGAGGGGGGCUGCUCCUAGUACGAGAGGACCGGAGUGGACGCAUCACUGGUGUUCGGGUUGUCAUGCCAAUGGCAUUGCCCGGUAGCUAAAUGCGGAAGAGAUAAGUGCUGAAAGCAUCUAAGCACGAAACUUGCCCCGAGAUGAGUUCUCCCUGA
rnacentral:rRNA from 1 species